rnacentral:rRNA from 1 species
ACGGCCGUACCAUGCUGAAUUCUCGCUACCAUGCUGACCGGUUCUCGUUAGAUCACCGAAGUCAAGCAUCAUCGGGCGAGGUCAGUAGUUGGGUGGGUGACCACCUGGGAACACCGCGUGCCGUU